UGGCUUCAGUUACUCUGUGCCCCGAAGUCACUGCUCUGGUGCUCCUCCCUCUGAGUCAGCUCCCUAGAUACAAGGCCGCAAGACAUUUUUCAGGAUGGUAGGAACCAACAGGAGAAGGGCGUCAUUCUGUUCUCCACUGGGGGUUUUGAGUGUCUGUCUGGAGUAUCUGACUGUAACUGCAGUUCAAAACGUACAAACAAACAAACAGCUCUCCCCCCUCAAGUACGAUGCUGCUCAGAUGAUUUCUUGGCAAAGGCAUUGUUGCUCCCCGGCCAAAGGUGAACUUAUGACUUUUCUGUAAAAUAAAAAUCAA